GUACGCGGCGUGCCACUUCGCACCGCGCCUGCGGGGACUGUGAGGACCCCUCUCUGUUUGGCUCUCGCAGGGAACACACGGGGAGCUUAAGAAUAAGCUGGAACAAGUGAGCAAAACUCGACUUCAUGUGCUUCCUGCUUCAUCCUGCACCUGCCUUCUUGAAAGAAAACAAGACAUCAGAUACUUAUUCAAAUAAUGGAAGAGCUGAUCAACUAGGUCUCCACA